rnacentral:misc_RNA from 1 species
ACAAACUUGGUCAUUUAGAGGAAGUAAAAGUCGUAACAAGGUUUCCGUAGGUGAACCUGCGGAAGGAUCAUUAUUGAAAUAAAAAAUUUGGAUUGGAGUUGCUGGUUCCUUUAAAGCGGGGAGCCUUGCACACUUCUAUCCAUUUUCUCAACCACCUGUGCAUCUUUUGUAAACCUGAAUCACUUCCUUUCAAGUUAAAUUCUUGGUUUUAGAAAGUAGCAAAUGCAGCUUUUCUUGUGUGCUUUCAGGUUUAUGUUGCUCUUAUAACACACGCUUAGUAUGUGUCAGAAUGUUGGAAUUUUAAUAAAUUUUAAACAACUUUCAACAACGGAUCUCUUGGCUCUCGCAUCGAUGAAGAACGCAGC